rnacentral:rRNA from 1 species
GACGUAGGGGGCAAGCGUUGUUCGGAAUUAUUGGGCGUAAAGCGCUCGUAGGCGGGACUGGAAGUCCGUGUUGAAAGACCUCGGCUCAACUGAGGGACCGGCUCGGAUACUCUAGUUCUUGAGGCAAUCAGAGGGUGAUGGAAUUCCCGGUGUAGCGGUGAAAUGCGUAGAUAUCUGGAAGAACACCAAAGGCGAAGGCAGUGUCCUGGGUGGUCGCUGACGCUGAGAGGCGAAAGCCAGGGGAGCGAACGGG